GGAAGGAAUGCCCUACGAGUUCGAGUGGGGCGUCGAGGACCAGGAGAGCGGCAACACCUUCAGCCACGUCGAAAGCAGUGACGGCCAGACGACCCAGGGCGAGUACCGCGUCCUGCUCCCCGACGGACGAACGCAGGUGGUGUCAUUUUUCGACAACGGAGAUGGGUACAACGCCGUCGUGACGUAUGAGUGAAAACUCCAUUCUUCAAUUUCAUUGAUUACGCUGCGGGCUCUGGCGUCAUCGUUUAUUGUGACGUCAUAACUGUGGCUUGUGACGUCGUCGUUGCACUUCAUGACGUCACGCUCCUUGUCCUCUAAGUCUCCUAUCGUUAGUCAUGUCUACCCAACAUACUCUGUACUAAAAGGACACUCUGAUGUUGCUCAUGAUAUUCUGUUCAUUCUACUGCAUUCUGGUGGUAUUAUCAUGUUGACGUGGUAAUAUGCGCUUGACAAGCCAAAAUAAACGGACUUGCUUUCUGUUACACUUCAACUAGUAUGUUAUGCUGUGCAUUACCAUGCUUAUGUCGUAAAACGUUUAUUUUUUUAUAAAUAAUCUAGUUACUUUGAUAAAUAAAGUAUAAACUUUAUACAAAUG